UACGUAGGGGGCGAGCGUUGUCCGGAUUUAUUGGGCGUAAAGAGCGUGUAGGCGGCUUUGCAGGUCCGCUGUGAAAACUCGAGGCUCAACCUCGAGCUGUCGGUGGAAACCGUGAAGCUAGAGUCCGGAAGAGGAGAGUGGAAUUCCCGGUGUAGCGGUGAAAUGCGCAGAUAUCGGGAAGAACCCCCGUGGCGAAGGCGGCUCUCUGGGACGGUACUGACGCUGAGACGCGAAAGCGUGGGGAGCGAACAGG
rnacentral:rRNA from 1 species